rnacentral:rRNA from 1 species
AAUCAACGCUGGCGGCGUGCCUCAGACAUGCAAGUCGAACGAUUAAAGCUCUCUUCGGAGAGUGCAUAGAGUGGCGCACGGGUGAGUAACACGUAAGUAAUCUACCUUCGAGUGGGGAAUAACGUCCGGAAACGGACGCUAAUACCGCAUAAUGCAGCGGCAUCGCAAGAUGACAGUUGUUAAAGGAGCAAUUCGCUUGAAGAGGAGCUUGCGGCAGAUUAGCUAGUUGGUAAGGUAAUGGCUUACCAAGGCUACGAUCUGUAACCGGUCUAAGAGGACGGUCGGUCACACUGACACUGAAUAACGGGUCAGACUCCUACGGAGGCAGCAGUCGGGAAUUUUGGGCAAUGGGCGAAAGCCUGAACCCAGCAACGCCGCGUGAAGGAUGAAGUAUUUCGGUAU